GCCUGUAUGAAGCCGGAAUUGCUAGUAAUGGCAGGUCAGCAUACUGCCGUGAAUACGUUCCCGGGCCUUGUACACACCGCCCGUCACACCAUGAGAGUUGGGGAUACCCAAAGCCCGUGAGCCAACUUAUAAAGAGGCAGCGGUCUAAGGUAGAAUCAAUGAUUGGGGUGAAGUCGUAACAAGGUAGC
rnacentral:rRNA from 1 species